rnacentral:rRNA from 1 species
CGAAGGAUUCGAGCGUUAUCCGGAUUUAUUGGGUUUAAAGGGUGCGUAGGUGGACUAAUAAGUCAGUGGUGAAAGCCCGCAGCUUAACUGCGGAACUGCCAUUGAUACUGUUAGUCUUGAGUACAGUUGAGGUGGGCGGAAUGUGUCAUGUAGCGGUGAAAUGCUUAGAUAUGACACAGAACACCGAUUGCGAAGGCAGCUCACUAAGCUGUAACUGACACUGAGGCACGAAAGCGUGGGGAGCAAACAGGAUUAGAUACCCUGGUAGUCCACGCCCUAAACGAUGAUUACUCGAUGUUGGCGAUACACUGUCAGCGUCUAAGCGAAAGCAUUAAGUAAUCCACCUGGGGAGUACGACCGCAAGGUUG